rnacentral:rRNA from 1 species
ACGAACGCUGGCGGCGUGCCUAAUACAUGCCAGUCGAGCGGACGAAUCGAAAGCUUGCUUUUGAUUCGUUAGCGGCGGACGGGUGAGUAACACGUGGGCAACCUGCCCUGUAGACGGGGAUAACACCGAGAAAUCGGUGCUAAUACCGGAUAACACGAAAUGUCGCAUGACGUUUCGUUGAAAGACGGCGCAAGCUGCCGCUACAGGAUGGGCCCGCGGCGCAUUAGCUAGUUGGUGAGGUAACGGCUCACCAAGGCGACGAUACGUAGCCGACCUGAGAGGGUGAUCGGCCACACUGGGACUGAGACACGGCCCAGACUCCUACGGGAGGCAGCAGUAGGGAAUCUUCCGCAAUGGACGAAAGUCUGACGGAGCAACGCCGCGUGAGCGAAGAAGGCCUUCGGGUCGUAAAGCUCUGUUGUUAGGGAAGAACAAGUAACGCAGUAACUGGCGUUACCGUGACGGUACCUAACGAGAAAGCCACGGCUAACUACGG